AUGGAAACUACAACUGUUGAAGACUCCGAAGACUUGGAGAAUUUGAAGGCUCUGAAGAAUUCCCAAAUUUGUAUGACCCAGGAAGGCUACCUUUAUGGAACCUGGCAGACUAUGGAAGUUAUCAAUACCGAGAUCAAGGUGUAUCGGAGAAAGACCGGAGCAUGGAGAGUUAGUAACUCAAAGUUUUGUCAAGAAAACUCUAAGACAGGAGAUAUCAAUCAUGAAAUGAAAGCUCAUGGCAGUAACAUGGGCAUAGACAUGGCUAACGAUGGUGUUAUUGCCCGCCUAUGCUAUUGUCACCGUGCGGAGUUAAGCAUGCAGAUGCAUGGAAGGAUUGGAUGGUAG
rnacentral:rRNA from 1 species